AUUGAACGCUGGCGGCAGGCCUAACACAUGCAAGUCGAGCGAGCGGCGGACGGGUGAGUCAUGUAUGGGGACUGCCCGAUAGAGGGGGAUAACUACUGGAAACGGUAGCUAAUACCGCAUACUAUCGGAUAACCCAUAUGGGAUUAGCUAGUAGGUGAGGUAAUGGCUCACCUAGGCGACGAUCCCUCGCUGGUCUGAGAGGAUGAUCAGCCACAUUGGAACACCGAGAUGUCCCAGACUCCCAUGGCGGCAGCAGUGGGGAAUAUUGCACAAUGGGCGCAAGCCUGAUGCAGCCAUGCCGCGUGUAUGAAGAAGGCCUUCGGGUUGUAAAGUACUUUCAGUGGGGAGGCGUUACCCGCAGAAGAAGCACCGGCUAACUCCGUGCCAGCAGCCGCGGUAAUAC
rnacentral:rRNA from 1 species